UUGGUGCUAAUACCGCAUAAGACCACGGAGAGGCAUCUCCCCGGGGUAAAAGAAUAAUCGGAUACAGAUGAGUUCGCGUCCCAUUAGGUAGUUGGUGAGGUAACGGCCCACCAAGCCGACGAUGGGUAGCCGACCUGAGAGGGUGAUCGGCCACAUUGGAACUGAGAGACGGUCCAGACUCCUACGGGAGGCAGCAGUGGGGAAUAUUGGGCAAUGGAGGUAACUCUGACCCAGCAACGCCGCGUGAGUGAAGAAGGUUUUCGGAUUGUAAAACUCUUUAAGCGGGGACGAAGAAAGUGACUGUACCCGCAGAAUAAGCAUCGGCUAACUACGUGCCAGCAGCCAGCGAAUAAUACGUAGGAUGCAAGCGUUAUCCGGAAUGACUGGGCGUAAAGGGUGCGUAGGUGGUUUGUCAAGUUGGCAGCGUAAUUCCGUGGCUU
rnacentral:rRNA from 1 species